rnacentral:rRNA from 1 species
GAUGAGCGCUGGCGGCGUGCCUAAUACAUGCAAGUCGAGCGAACAGACGAGGAGCUUGCUCCUCUGACGUUAGCGGCGGACGGGUGAGUAACACAUGGAUAACCUACCUAUAAGACUGGGAUAACUUCGGGAAACCGGAGCUAAUACCGGAUAAUAUAUUGAACCGCAUGGUUCAAUAGUGAAAGACGGUUUUGCUGUCACUUAUAGAUGGAUCCGCGCCGCAUUAGCUAGUUGGUAAGGUAACGGCUUACCAAGGCAACGAUGCGUAGCCGACCUGAGAGGGUGAUCGGCCACACUGGAACUGAGACACGGUCCAGACUCCUACGGGAGGCAGCAGUAGGGAAUCUUACGCAAUGGGCGAAAGCCUGACGGAGCAACGCCGCGUGAGUGAUGAAGGUCUUCGGAUCGUAAAACUCUGUUAUUAGGGAAGAACAAAUGUGUAAGUAACUAUGCACGUCUUGACGGUACCUAAUCAGAAAGCCACGGCUAACUACGUG